GGGAGCCUGAAUUACAGGAUGCGUGAGCAACCAGAAGUAGUGCUGAGAAUCAAACCCAUGUCCUCUGGAAGAGCAGCCAGUGCUCUUAACUACUGAACCAUCUCUUCAGCCUCACCAUUGUUUUUUAAAAGAGCCAAGGGCACCUAAUUGCAGCCCAGGACUUAAUGGUGUUUGUGACCCUGCAUGGCCCCCUCAAGAUGCCUGUUGGAGACUUGUUCUUUGGUGGUGGACCUAAUGUCUGGAGCUGGUGGCCCAAGGAAAAAUCCAACUCUGCACUGGUAACACGGAAGAAGCAGCAGAGUCACAGCCUCGGGAACAGCUCGUCCAGAAGCUGGUGCUGUCAGUGGCAAGGCUGCC